GUUUUUGUACUGAUCAAAUAAUGACCAGCUGCUGGAUAUGGCUGCAGCCUCACUUGUAGGACAUUAUCUGACAGAAACGUGGAUAUUUAUCAACAUUCAUUAGCUAAAUAUCUCACUAAGUGCAAUUAGAGUCAUAACCCAAGCAAUGAAAGUGUUCAACUCAACAGAAAAUUUCGGGACAAACCUUAAGCCUAGGAUUGAUGAGGAUGACUGGACGCAUACCAGCAGAUUCAGUCAUUCCCCUGAGAUCCUGCAAUCUCAAAAUCAAGUGGUGCUUAACCAUAUAGUUGCAGCAUAUGUCAUAAAAUGGACAUAAUUGCGAAAGGAUUAAGGAAACACUUGCUAUCAAGCUCUUACAUCGAUGAUACAGUUACCCACAGCAUUUUGAGGACCACUAAGAUAAAAAUGUCAUCUUGCUCGUCAACCUAGAUUUAAGGCUUAGUAAAGUUACACAUUGUGAAAUGAUUGCCCAAUGAAAUGGCUCUUAAAAGCGACAUAAGCUAAUGAUAGAAAUGCUGCUAUGGAUCAGAGGUGGAAUAGCAAUUUAACAUCCAAUGCAUCUAAUGCAACGACCAUCUGAGCAUACGAGAUUGAUAUAUGAGCCCUCUCACUAUCAUAAACAUUUAAAUUUUAAGGCCCCAUGAGUCAAAAAAGGAAGAGAACACAAGGUUGAAAGUUGAAAGUAUGCACUAAUCACAUGUUGGGCAAAUUCCUGCAUGGGGUUGGAAGUCCCACACCAUGUAUACUUGCAUUCUUUAGAGUCUACAUAUUUGGAUCUCUGCAAGUAUUAUGACAACAACCACCUUGUCCGCCAAUGACCAAAGAGAGAAGUAGUCAAUGGUAUGAUCAUCUAUUUUAGAUAAACUCAAUUUCCCCGACCAUAUACCUAUAGAUCCAAUCUUGACAAAGGUUCCUAAUGCACCAUGAUCUCCCCAAUCUAUAAACUCCAAUAUCUUGCGACUACCAGCAAGCUGCAGUGGCAUUUCAUUAAGAGCACCUUCUCCCAUGGACGCUUGAACACAAACCUGCAUGAGAUGAUUUUCUAACAAAUAUGAAUAUAAACGGGUAACCAACACCAAAUCUUACUACAGGAGAGGCAAAAGAACUAAGUCAGAUUUACCUUAACACGUUUUCCAUCAAUGAAAGAGCAAUAACUCUGACAAGUUCCAUCAGAGUACCUAUUCUAUAAACAUCCUGUCCAGAUUGCAUCACUAAAAUAUGGUUAAAUUCCUAUUAUCUGUUUGACGAAGGACCAAAUGUUCUCAUAUAAUCAUCUUACCAUUUCUGGGUUUAGCUCUGGGCUAUUGAUUUCUACCUGAAAUGUUCACGAGAAGAGCAGCAUGAGUUUGGCUUUGGGAGUAACAUGCAUAUGUUGAUGAGGAAAACUGUAAUAAGAUGAAACAGGGUAAAUCUGUUCGAGUAGGAAGUUCCCCUUAAAUUUCCAGCUUUGGAUUCUUUCUUUAUCAGUAAAAAGAGGAUCAGCUUGAUUUUAAGUUUUUGGAAGUCAUGAUUGUGGAACUAUAAAAACAAAUAAACAUAUAGACUUAGGAUAUCUAAAUCUCUCGUUAGUAUCUUUCUUCAAGUAAUUCAGACCAAUGAAAACAGUAUCAAAGACGAAUAUCCUACCUUCAGUCUUGUUUUUCCAUCAUAUAUGGCUCUCUGCGUAGCUUGAAGCACAUCGUCAUAGAAAUAUGUCCUGAUUCCUCUAGAGUAAGGAAUAUUAUUUAACCUAGUAGGUAUUCCCUGCCAUUUACCCUAUAGAAUGCUAAAGCAAAAUAAGGCAAGAAUAUAGCGCAGAUAUUAAUGAAAACUCUGCAGAUCCAUGAUGUAGCUUUCAAACUAGGGACAAGGAUAAAUGUAUAGUAUGCUGAAGUACCUCUUUUUUAGUUGCCUGAUUUGAUGGCUGUGAGAUCAGAUACAGGGUUCCCUGAAAGAAAUGUCACAGGCUUACAAGACAUUGGGAUUAAGAAAAUCGACAUUCAUGAACAUCAACCCUUUUCUUUGGAUAGAAACCUCACAAAAGGACUUGUCUCAUCCAAGAUAAUAAUUGUCCUACAAUACAUUCCUUACCAGUCUUUCGACAGUACUUCCUUCAGUUAAGCAAAACUAAUGCUUUGAAUUGUGUUUCUAGAAUUCCAUGAGAAGUAACUCAUCCUUCGAAUCAUUUAAAGUUGGCUGUACUUUCCGAAGCUUUGCUACUUAGUUGCUAUUGCUAAUUCUACAUCAACACAUCCUUUCAGUCAAUGAGUGGAAGUCAGUAUCCUUCAUUUCCCUCUAAAAAUUGGUGGCCUCACACUUCUAGGAAAAGAAAAAUAGACUCACGAUUGAAGUAUCAAAGGAGAGCGAUCCCAAUUGCACUUCGGAUGAUAUUACUCAUACCUAGUUUUGUUGUUUUUGCUUUAUCUUUUUGGAUCCUUGACGGCAGUGAGUCUACUUCACUGAAAACCACAUCUUUGGGCGAUUUCCAUCAAUCUGCACUCUCCAAAAUGCAAUUCAUCACAGGCUGUUACCAAUUGCCAUACAAUUCUUAAUGAGAAGUGGAAGAAAGGGUCAGUUGAGAGCAAGGGAGGACCUUAUUCAGUAUACUCAAAUAAGUCGAUAAUAUAGCCUGAGCAUUUUGCUUGUAUAUUCCAAAUGUGACUUCACCUAAUGCGGAAAUCAAAAGUAAAAUUACACAAAGGAAAUGUUGGUAGACAACCAAAGGUAGCUAAUCAGGCCUAUGUACUAAUUAGAAAGUGACAAUUUUCAGGAAGCAUAAGCAAGCAUAUAUGUCAUAGACUUCUAGUCACCAAUAGAUGUUAAUGUUUCUCAUGCAGAUAUUUUGAUUGUGCUGUGAUUCUGGUGCAAGUUGAAGAUAACGUUUGAUUCCGAUGGAAAUUGGAAUAGCUAACAGUGGACUAGGUCAAUACUAAUAAGCACAAACCUAAGUUCAAUAUGGGAUAUAGAAAAUGAAAAAUUAAGGUGGAAAAUGAUGACAUAUUAAGUGAAAAUAUUUUGAUUGGAAAAUGAUUAAAUUCGACCUAAUUAUUUUAUGAAAUGGAAAGAAGACAAAAAGAGAUUAUUGACCUUUUCCUCUCCUCUUUCAUCAGGAAAUUUAAAAUUUUGGAUAUUAAGUAUUUUGGCCCAAUGUAAAAGAUACAAAUUAAAGAAAAGAACUAGAAAAUCCGAAUUUAAGUUGUACGGGCCUUUUGGUCCACGAAAAUUAUUUUCAUGUUCGAUUUCAACGUAAAGGAAACUGAAAUUUUCUGACCCAAAAAAAAAAAAAAAGAAAAAGAAAAAAAGAAUCUGAACUCCCUUAUCAUUUUUACGAUUUUUUUUUUCACCUGUGGAGAACUUCUUUGAUUUUUCCCCUGAAGCAUCGCGUCAACUUCCACGCCAGAUCGACCACCAAAAGAAAAAAAAAAAAAAAAAAUCCAGGCCAGCGUCUCCAUUCCUCGAACUAAUUCAGAGACAAAAGUACAACAGCAGGCUAUCAAGAAAAAUCGUCUUACCAAAUUUAUGAAAUGCUGAUGAAAUUGGCAAUACAUCUCGACAAAGAAUAGCGUGACCUGCUUCUAUCUAACUUCGAAAGGAAAGGCGAGUCGUUCCGACAUCGUCGCCGAAGUGCUUGACUUGUCGAAGCAUUAUUUUCAUCAAUCAAUUGCUACUCUGCUGCAGCGGUGCAAUGAACAUACGAGAUUCCACUGAGUUGCAUCGCUGAACGUCUUUUAGAGUCUAGACGCCUUGGAGUCCUGGAGCUAUGUGACCUCCACAAGUUCAUGCGAAAUUCAACCCCAUCGUUCCGUUGGAUUUUCGAAAUUCGACAGUUAUGGACGGUUUGCUGAGGCCUUGCAGUUGAAUCCCUCAUUUUAACACAUAUCCGACUUUCUCUAGGCCCUGAACAUCACGAAGCUUCGAACAUCCCAAGAUCUCCAAAUAGGUCAGGUUAUUAAAGCACGAGAGGUCUGGUAAUGUUUCAAUGGAUGUGCAGCUCUGGAUAAUCAGGAAUUCCAAUGUUUUCAACCUCUCAAGGCCUUUAAUUUCAACUAUAUUGUGGCAAUGAUAAGCGUCUAAUCGCUUCAGAUGUGUCAAUUGUGAAAGAUCUGGUCUUAUAAGGUUUUCACAACCACUUACAUCCAGCUCUUCCAAGUUUUUCAAUCUAUCAAGGCCUCGAACUAGAUCAUCAUUCACUAAGGAAGAACUCAUAUUCAAGUAUCUCAAGGACUCUGCAUCUUCAAGGCCGUCGAAUUUGGAUAAGUUCUUGCUUCCAAGAACACUCAGAUGUACUAAGAAUUUUAAUGCUUCUAGACCAUUGAUUUCUGUCAGCUCUCGGCAGUUUUUGAUAUUUAACUGUGACAGCAAUUUCGGACUAGACAAAUUUGGCAACUCUUUCAACUUAUUACAGCCGUGGACAAAAAGCUUCGAUAUUGCUGAGGGAAGCUCAGGCAUGGAUUCUAACAAUUUGCAAUCGUAAACAGUAAGCUCUUUUAGAUGGAUUAGGUGAGAAAGUUGAGGCAAUGCGUGAUGUUGACAAGUGACUUCUAGAACUGUUAAACCACCGGGAAGUUUUGGUAAUGACUGAAGUUCAUAACAACCAAUCAACUGAAGGUGUUGCAGAUAAGGCAUCUUACUCAUGCUUUUCGGUAGAGAUUGAAGCAUCUUGCAUCCGCAUAAGUCUAGUUUUUCAAGGCAAGAAAGCUUAUCGAAUGUGUCAGGGAAGCCAGAAACGUUCGUCCCACUUAAUACAAGAAUCUUCAGUGAAGACAAUCCAUUUAUAGGAAUUUCCCCUCCUAGACUCCUGCAAUGCGAGGCAUGCAAUUCUUCAAGGUUGCCCAACUUUCCUAUUGUACUCGGUAAAUUAUUCAAUUUACUUGUAAUAUCCAAAAUUUUCAAGUUUUUCAAAUCUCCAAUGGAUUCAGGUAAUUCUCGAAUGUCCUUACAUGUCAAUUCCUUUAUAUUCAUCCGAUUCAAUUUCCUAAUUGAAUAAGGGAAGUGAUUUCUCGAAAUGUCAAUUAGGGUAACCCAAGGAGGUGUAUCCUCCUCCUUGCCUAAUGAUAGGUGUCGCAAUUUCACAAGGGAUCCAAUGCUCUCUGGAAGUCCAACUAAUGAUUUGCAACCACGGGCGUGAAGUAUCUCCAACUUCUUCAAAGAACCUAUAUCGGGAGGAAUUUCCUCCGUAGCAGUAUUGUCUAUGUUUAGUUCCUUCAGUUCUUCCAAUUUGCCUAUUUCUUUGGGUAGCACUCGGAGUUUCUUACAUCCCGAAAUGUCCAAAGAAAUGAGGCUCUUCAAAGAGCCUAUCCAUGGAGGAAUUUCCUCUAUAGCAGUCUUGCUUAUGUUUAGUUCCUCAAGUUUUUCCAAUUUGCCCAUUUCUCUAGGCAGCACUUGGAGAUUAUGACAUUUCGAUAAGUCCAAAGAAACAAGGCCCCUGACUUCUCCAAUAGAAUGGUGAAUUUGCUCCAGAUCAAUACAUCCUUCAAGGACUAAUAUCUCUAAAUUUUUUAAGGUGGAGAGAUCAGGACUAACCUUUAAGCGAUUAGAAUGUCGGAGAUUUAGAACUUUCAACUCCUUCGCCACCUACAAAUAAAAUGACUAAUGAAUUUUUUUUAUAAGAGUAAGCCAUUAGAAACAAAAGACAACAUGCUCUCCUCUGACCUUGAGAUGACUCCAACCUUCUGAAAGCUCUAAAUUCCAUGAUAAAUCAAGUAUGACUAAUUUCUCUAGACUAAAACUAGCAGCCCAGGAUGCAUUCCACUUGCGGCACUCAAGCCAUCGCAACUUAGGAAGCAAGCUUUUGGAAUCUCCAAUUAGUAUAGAAAAUAAAGGCACUUGAAGGAACCUUAAGUUCGGUAGCGUCUCCAAUUGGUUAGUUGUGAAUUCAUCGAGUAAGCUUACUCCGUCAAGACGAAGGGCCUGAACGUGAAGUUUUUCAAUUCCCUGCACAAAUGUUGCACCAAAUCAGCUAACAGUGGAUUGAUAUCAUUUUGCCUUCGUUCUAUAGGGGCGAAGUUGGCACUUAGAUCAGACCAAAUUAUAUCAUGUGGCUAGGUAUUAUUUUCUUUUUUGCCCUUAAUGAAUGAUAUCAUGUAAUCUUUCCCUAUGAAUUUACUGCAAAACACAUUAAAUAUUAAUCUUAAUGUCUUCCCUUCUUUGGUUUGUGCUAUCUCUCCCUUUUUCUUCUCUUAUGUGAUUAGAGACUUAGUGCAAUGUGUCAUUUCGGGGAAUAAGCACGAUGGCUCGACUAACGACUUAGAAUUAAUUGAUACUAACACACACCGAGUGCACAAGUAACCACUAAUGAGCUAGGAGUUUAAUGUCUAAGCCCAAAACUUUUCUUUCCUUAACUUGAUACGAAAUGUUUACCACGUAUAGAUGCUAAGCAAAUUUCAUCCUAACCACAUCAAGGAAAUAAUAUAAGGAGAAUAAUCUCAGUGGUGAGGUCUAAAAUUGAUUCCAAUUAGAGGAAUUCGUGUAAAAAAGAGAGUAGUGCAACAAUAGAGGAAACAAGUACCUUAUUUCUCUGAAGUACUUCCAAGGCUUCCUCAUGGAACCACACCCUACUUCGGUUCAUAGGCACAAUGUAAUCUUCUUGACGAACAAUUUCCCUACCAAGGUCUCUCAAUUGGUCAUGCAUUUUCAGCUCACGGUUAUCUCCAAUUUUUAUUAGCGACAUAAGCCUCAGUAUUUCAAUCCCCAUUUUUGGAGAAAAACCACAGGCAUCCCACAUGUAGGAUGCAAUUCUUAAAUCAGUUCCAAUAAAGAAACAAGCAAUAUCCAAAAAUAUUUGUUGUUCCUCAUAGUCCAGUGCGUCAUAACUUAUCUUCAGCUUCUUACGCACUUCUUUAUGUGGUACUUUAUUUAACUUUUUCAAUGUGUCUCGCCAUAACGAUUUGUUUUUCCCACACAAAAAUGAGCCUAUAACCUCGAGAGAUAAAGGAAGCCCUCCGGUAGUGGAUACGAUAUCAUGAGACAAAGAUUCGAAUUCAUGUGGAGGAGAGACCCUCCUAAAAGCAUGUCUACUAAACAAGAUCAAAGACUGAUCCUUAGCCAUUCCAUUGAGUUCGUGGCAGUUCACAUUAGCAUCAUCGAGAAUAGACUUUCUUCUUGUGGUAAUGAUCAUUCUACUUCCCCUCUCAAACCAAUCACCUUUCCCAAUUAAAGCUUUUAGUUGAUCAUGGUUAUCCACAUCAUCUAAAAGAAGUAGGACUUUCUUAUGUUUAAAUCUGGAUUCCAUAAUCCUAAUUCCUUCAUCCUCAUUCGACACUCUAUCCUCUCUUCCUAGUAUAUCCCUUAUUAAUUGCUCUUGCAAACAUGAAAUGCCCUUGUGUUGUGAGGAUUCUCGAAUAUCUGUAAUGAAACUACGAUGCUGAAAUUGGUCGGAGAGCUUAUUGUAAACGACCUUGGCUAAAGUUGUCUUACCAAUACCCCCCAUUCCAUGGAUGCCGACAAUUUGGGUAGAAUGGUGGUUAUCAUCCAGCAAUCUUAGAAUAUUUGCCACAGUAUCAUCAAUUCCGACAAGUUGUUCGGUAACAACCAGUUGAAAGGCCUCUUUUAACUUGCUCAAAACUGUUCUGACGACCAUUCUCACCAAUUCUCCUUCACGGCUGUUUAUAAGAUUCGAGCUAAAAUGAAUUAGAAGAACAAUCAUAUCCUGUUGUAUCUUAUUAUUACCACACUACAGCUUACAAGAGCUAAAAAAGCAAGCACAAGUUGUGAAACACGAGAUAGAAUAGCUUUCUCUACAAGCAAGAUCCAGUUGAAAGAAAUUAAAUAAGGUUUGUAUAGAAAUUGAAAUACCCGUUAGCAAUUUUCUCUGAUUCCCAUCCCUUCAAGGAAGCCACUUCUUGGAGCGCUUCUUUCCAUUUGGCAACGUCUUCCCUAGAAUACUUCCCUCUUAAAUGGGAGAAAGCCUCUCGAAAGCUCCCUUUCUGAUGUCGUACAUCAGCCGGUUCAACCCGGUAAAAUAUGGGCAAGACAACUUGCCCGGCGUUCUUCAUGCACUCAAUCAUUUGAACGAGCUCUUGAAGGCACGCUUUGCUCCAAGCAUAGUUUUGAGACAGAACUGGGAUGGAGAUCUUACUAUUCUUAAUGGCUGUGAGAAGGUUGGUGCUGAUCUCCUCACCUUCACAAAGCUCAUCGUCGUCUUUGAACACGCAAAUUCCAGCAUCGAUGAGGUUGUUGUAGAGGUGAUCCACGAAGGUGUUGCGAGUAUCUGUACCUCUGAAACUCAAGAACAUGUCGUAGCCGUUACUUCCUUUUGGAGCGGCGGACAAGCUAGCCGCAGCAAUAUCAUCUGCUUUUCGACCUUUGCUAUCCUUGUUGCUCUGGACAAAUUUGGAUGCGGACGAGCUAGGCGCAGCGGUAUCAUUUGCUUUUCGACCUUUGCUAUCUUCGUCGCUCUGGGCAAAUUUGGAUGCGAGACGAGGGAAGAGACGUUUCAUUUUUUGCUCUUCCAACAACUCUUGAACCGAGUCUCUCUGCUUAUAUGAAAGAUUAAAAUGCCUAAUUUCGGGCUCUGCGCAAGAAGGUGACCAUGCGGAGCUGAGUUUUUGACAAUUUCUACUUCAAGAUACACAUGGAUCAAGAGGGGAAAAAGAAGAAGACGAAUUAAUGAAGAAUGACCGAGAGCUAGUCGUCGGGAGAAGAGGCUCGACUGGGGAAGUGGGCAUCCUUCGUCCCAGAAAUCAGAGUGGGGAAGGACGGAGCCUCCUGCUCCACCUCAGACUCCAGCGACGCUUGGCCAACCUCAUCAAAUUGCUCUACUCGAGGAAUCUCAAGUUGUUCGUCGCUUAUCAUUAAGCUCGUUCGAUGAGAAGGGGAAGCACUGUUCUCCCGAAGAGAUGCCUUUUUCCAUGUUCUUAUCAGCCAAUGGGUGUUCACCUCGUAUAAGCCCACGAAUCUUUCAUUGAACGGAAUUAUACGGUUGUCAUUUAUAAACUGUGCAUGUUUAUCAUCUAAUAUGUUGCUUGUUCCGCUUCAGUCGCAACUUCAGCCAAAGCUAAGAACUCUUGUUCACUCUAUCAUUUGAUUGGAUUCAAAUCCUCCCUUCUCACAUCAUAGCUUCUAAUCACGCUUGACUUGACGAAGAGCAUCUGCCUUGUUUCUUAGGCCUUAAUAACGUAAAAAAUUAUGGAUUAAUUUUAAUUCUUUGUAAAAAUAAUUUUCUGUAAAUUGCAUCAAAUAUAGACAUUAAGAUUAGCAUUACUAGCGUUAAAUAUUAAAAAUAUUUUAAAAAAAUUAAUUAGUUUAAAAAAUUCAAAAAAAAAUUAUUUAAAAAGUUAAAAUUAAAAUUAAUUAAAAAUAUGAUUAUUUAUUAAAAAAUCAAAUAGGGCCCGGUCAGGGCUGGGCCUACCCGGGCCUCCUUCUUUGUGCCCCGCUCUUUUCCCCCCGCACAAGGCGGGCCCACUCUUCCCUAGCCCGGCCCGCUCAUCUCUUCCUUCUUCCUCCUCCUUCGCGGCUCAACUUGAGGCUGUCCAGCAGAAAAACCAGAGCUAAGUCUCCUCUGUUUUUCUCUGGCUUUUGAUUCUGGCUCAAUCUAUAGUGCUGAACUCUCGGUUUCGUUCUCGUGUUCUCCGAAAUUCCGUUUUCCAUUCUGGAGUUCAUCUUCACGGACGUGUUCGUACCCUCCUCCGACCGAACUGAAGAUUAUGGCAAUGGAUUAAAGCCAAGUGAUUCGCGUCCUUCCUCUGGUUUCAAUCAGCACAGAUUCCGCAUUGAUUUUACGUGUGUUUCUUGUAGAACAACAGCUCCAUCACCAAUGAACGUCAGACAAAUCUGAAGGUUAGUCAAACUUGCUUAAACUUCAUCAAACAUGCUCGAUUGUUGCUGAGGUUUUUUCGAUUUGUACUUAGUGUGAUCAAGAUUUGUGUUAAACCUUGCCGAUAUUCGAAGAUUCUCACCUUUGAAGUUAGCCAACAAUCUCCUUGAAAGAACAGAUAAACAAUUUCCGGAGAGUACAGAUGUCUUGACAUCUACAUCAUUGAUGGUUUUGAACACCAUCGAGAAUCAUUUUUUUCAUGCAUCCAGAAGAAAAUGCUUACUUCCACACAGAAUUUUCAUUCUGAGAAAGCUUCGCAAAUCUUCUGCGUUGUCCUUCUUCUUUGGCUAGGCAAGGGAAUGGAAAAAGCAGAAAAGGCAAGACCUCUGGUGGUAAGGAUGGGCCACCCCCGAAGCCAAAUCUUGAUUGAUUCUAGUUUUAUUGCAUGUAAAUUCAAUCAGCGCUUCUGCAAGGCGAUGACUCUAGCAAUGAGAUGUGUCAGAGAUAAGGGAAAUUUACCUGAGAGCACCCAUAAUUCGGUAUUAAGUUCCUGCAUAAUAGAGAAGCCGCAAGAAUAGCAAUUCUCAAAUGAUGCAGCAUACUCCAGUCUCUUGUCUCGUCCCAUCGUCUUCAAAACAAGUUUCAAGAUAAAGAGAAUCAGAUCAAAUCUAUAUCUUUUUUGUUUCCACAUGUUAACAAUGUACUUACUCGCAUGGUUCUAGCAAAAAAAAAAAAAAAAAGUACUUACUCGCAUGAUACCACUGCAACCUGGUAAAUCCUGGAGAAAAACAGCCAUGCUCAUUAGAAAAAGGCAAAACAUUAGUUGCAGACUCUGCUAAAACACUGGAUGCAGGUCUGCAGACAAAAUGUUCAGCAAUGGAUUAAGAAUAGUAGGAACAUGCAAGCAUUACUUUGAAGAAAUUGCUCAGUUUCUUGGGGUCAUUUUAUACAAGAUUUUGGCUGAUUUUGGUUUGGUUUGAAGAAUAGCUUACCCCUGUGAGUCUGUAAAACAAGAAAAAAUGACUGAGAGAUGAUACCUAUUAGUCUCUGUUUUUGUACUGACCAAAUAAUGACCAGCUGCAGGAUAUGGCUGCAGCCUCACUUGUAGGACAUUAUGGGACAGAAACGUGGAUAUUUAUCAACCACUCAUCAGUUAAAUACCUCGCUAAGUGCAAUUAGAGUCAUAACGCAAGCAAUGAAAGUGUGACCUGCUUUUAUCUAACUACGGAACUAAUAAAAAGACAAAAGUACAACAGCAGGCUCUCAAGAAAAAUCGUCUUACCAAAAUUACGAAAUGCUGAUGAAUUCGGCAAUACAUCUCGACAAAGAAUAGCGUGACCUGCUUUUAUCUAACUACGGAAGAAAACGCGAAUCCUUCUGACAUCAUAGCCGAAGUGCUCGAUUCAUCGAAGCAUUAUUUUCAUCGACCAAUUGCUUCUCUACCGCAGAGGUGCGAUGAACAUCCGCGAUUCCACUAAGUUGCAUCGCUGAAUGUCUUUUAGAGUCUAGACGCCUUGGAGUCUUGGAGCUCUGUGAUCUCCACAAGUUCAUGCGAAAUUCAACCCCGUCGUUCCAUUAGAUCUUCGAAAUUUGACAGAUGUGGACAAUUUGCUGAGGCCUUGCAGUUGAAUCCCUCAUUCGAACACACGUCCGACUUUCUCUAUGCCCUGAACACCACGAAGCUUCGAACAUCGCCCGAUGCCCAAAAAUUUCAGGUUAUUGAAGCGCGAGAGGUCUGGUAAUGUUUCAAUGGAUGUGCAACCCCCGAUAUUAAGCCAUUCCAAAAUUUUCAACCCCUCAAGACCUUUAAUUUCGACUAGAUUGUGACAGUCCCGAGCACGUAAUCUCUUCAAAUGUGUUAAUUGUGAAAGGUCUGGUCUUAUGAGGCACUCACAACAACUUAUAUCUAGCUCUUCCAAGUUUUUCAAUCUGUUAAGGCCAUGAACUUGAAAUAGGUCAUCAUUCACUAAGGAAGAACUCAUAUGCAAGUAUCUCAAGGACUCUGCAUGUUCAAGGCCGUCAAAUUUGGAUAACUUUUUGCUUCCAAAUACACUCAGAUGUACCAAGGAUCUUAAUGCUUCUAGCCCUUUGAUUUCCAUUAGCCAACGACAGUUUUUAAAAUCUAAUUGUGACAACAAUUCCAAACUUGACAAACUUGGCAACUCUUUCAACUUAUCACAUCUGAAGAUAAAAAUCUUCAAUAUUGCCGAGGGAAGCUCUGGAAUGGAUUCCAGCAAUUGGCAUUUGUAAACAGUGAGCUCUUUUAGAUGGAUUAGGUGAGAAAGUUGAGGCAAUGAGUGAUGUUGACAGGUGACUUCUAGAACUGUUAAACAACUAGAAAGCUGUGGCAGUGAAUGAAGUUCGUAACAACCAAUUAACUGAAGGUGUUGUAGAGAAGACAGCUUACCCAUGCUUUUUGGCAGCAAUUGAAGCAUUUUGCAGCCGUUUAAGUCAAGUUUGUCAAGAUGAGAGCAAUUAUCAAAUUUGUCGGGGAAGCCCGAAAACCUUGUCCAACUUAUUUCAAGGAUCUUUAGUGAAUACAACCCAUCUAUAGGAAUUUCCCCUCCUAAUCUCUUACAGUGCGAGGCAUGCAAUUCUUCAAGGUUGCCCAACUUGCCUAUAGUACUUGGCAAAUUACUCAAAUCACUUCUAGCAAUAUCCAAAAUUUUCAAGUUCUUCAAAUCUCCAAUGGAUUCAGGUAAUUCCCGAAUGCCCAUACAUGGCAAUCUCCGAGGAGAUAGAUCCCCCCCCCCCCUCCACCUAAAGAUAGGCGCUGCAAUUUCAUGAGGGAUCCGAUACUCUCUGGAAGUCUUUCCAAAUUGAUGCACAUGCUCAAGUCAAGGGUUGACAAAUUUACGAGAUGGCUAAUUAAGUCAGGAAGUCUAACCAAUGAUUUGCAACCAUGGGCGUGAAGUAUCUCUAACUUCUUCAAAGAACCUAUACAAGGAGGAAUUUCCUCUAUAGCAGUCCUGCAUAUGUUUAGUUCCUUCAAUUCUUCCAACUUAACCAUUUCUUCAGGUAGCACUCGGAGUUUCUCACAUGACGAAAAGUCCAGAGAAACGAGGCCCUUGACUUCUCCAAUAGAAUGGUGAAUUUGCUCCAAACUAUAACAUCUUGCAAGGACUAAUAUCUCUAAAUUUUGGAAGGCCGAGAGAUUAGGAGUAACUUUUAAACAAUGACAAUUUGUAAGAUUUAGAACCUUCAACUCCUUCGCCACCUGCAAAACAAAGUGAUUGAUAAAAUUUCGUUGAGAGUAAGCCAUUAGAAACAAAAGACAUUAUACUCUCCAUCUGACCUUGAGAUGACUCCAACCUUCCUAGAGCUCUGAAACGACACUCCAUGAUAAAUCAAGUAUGACUAAUUUCUCUAGAUGAAAACUAGUAGCCAUGACUCCAAGAUGUCCGUUCCACUUAAGCCAUUGCAACUUAGGAAGCAAGCUUUUGGAAUCUCCAAUCAGUUUCCUAGCACCCACUUGAAGGAAUCUUAAGUUCGGUAGUGUUGCAAAUUGUUCAAUUGUAUAUUCACUGAAUAAGUUGAAUUUGUUGAGACAAAGGGCCUGAACGUGAACUUUUUCAAUUCCCUGCACAAAUUUUGCACCAAAUCAGCUAACAGUGAAUCGAUAUCACUUUGCCUUCGUUCUAUAGAGGCGAAGUGGACGCUCAAAUCAAACCAUAUUUAUUCAUAUAAGUAGGUAUUCAUUUUUUGUCAAUUAAUACUAUCAUGUAACCUUCCCUUGAAGUUAUUGAGAAACAUUUUAUAUAUUCCUCUUGAUAUCUUCCUUUCUUCGGUUUACGCUAUUUCUCCCCCUUUUUCUUCUCUUAUCCGAUUAGACAAUCAGUACAAUAGGGCAUUUCGAAUGAAAAGCAUGAUGGCUCGAAUAACGACUUAGAAUGAAUUUAUACUAACACCAAGUGUUGGGAGUUCAUUGUCUAAACCCAAAAGUUUUCUUUCCUUUAACUUGAUAGGAAAUGCCUACCAUGUAUAGACGCUAAGAACAUUUCAUCCUAAUCAUAUCAAAUAAUAUAAGGAGAAUAAUCUUAGUUGUGAGGUCUAAAAUUGAUUCCAAUUGAAAGAAUUCAGCUGAAAAUAGAGUAGAACAACAAUAGAGGUAACAAUUACCUUAUUUCUCUGUAGUACUUCCAAGGCUUCCUCUUGUGCCCACAAUCUACUUCGAUUCAUAGGCGCAUUGUAAUCCUCUUGGCGAACAAUUUCCCUACCAAGGUCUCUCAAUUGGUCAUGCAUUUUCAGCUCAUGAUUAUCUCCAAUUUUUAUUAGCGACAUAAACCUCAAUAUUUCAAUCCCCAUGCUCGGAUAAAAAUCACAGGCAUCCCACAUGUAGGAUGCAAUUCUUAAGUCAGUUCCAAUAAAGAAACAAGCAAUAUCCAAAAAUAGUUGUUGUUCCUCAUAGUUCAAUGCAUCAUAGCUUAUCCUUAACUUCUCUUGCACUUCCUUAUGUGGUACUUUCUUUUGAUAUUGCUAGUAUGAGUACCUAGAGGGGGGUGAAUAGGUGUCUAAACAAUUUAUCGAUAUAUGGAAGCGAUUCUUAGCAUAUGAUAGAAAGUAAAUUCUCUCUUAAUUAUCAAAAUGAAAUACGAUCGAGGUAGAGAGAGUAAGGAAGAGAAAAUUGAACACAUGAUUUAUAGUGGUUCGACUUAUUCCAAGCCUACGUCCACUCUUCCGCACUGACAGCCCAUCGGCUGGAUUUCACUAUGAUUAAAAGAGAAGUUACAGCACAGCUUUGCCUUGAUUCCACAUUGUAGAUGUUCUACCACACCUCCUCAAGGUCUCUCACAAAUAUAGACUCUCUUUUGUAUACAAGUAUUCGCUCAAAGGAUUUAUCUAAACAAAUAGGAGCUUCAGACUUUGGAAUUCUUCUAUCGCGCACACCUUGAACAACUAAGAUAGUCUUCCUUAUAUACUCCUUUAUGCCAUCAUAACCGUUGGCACUUACCAAAGGAAUUCCUCCAAUCUACCCGUUGGACGGAAUCAAUUAGGAAGAUUGUUCAAGCUAUUAAAGGAACGUGUUGAUAGCCCAUCAAUCCUGUUCGCCCAUACAAUCAGGAUCUCGGUUUCCAUAAGCAGAACCUUCCAAUAAUACUUAGACAAUCACCGGAUCUUCAAUUAUCGAAUCAAUCUUCGAUCAAUCAAAGGACUCCGUUAUGUCUUCUCCGGCCACGAGAUCUUCUCCAUUGAUAAGGUCAAAUCCUCAACGAAACAUUCAGUUCUGGAUAACCUUUCUUCAACGGAUUAGAGACUGUCAAUGAGGAUAGACUUUGAGUCUUGAGUCUGGCUGUCAGGAGGUCUUCAGACUUUAAAUAGUACAGUCUGCAAACCUUCAGACUAGACUGAUAGAAACGUUUUGUCAACUUCAAAAUACUUCAAGAAGAUUUCUCCAACAAUCUCCCCCUUUUUGAUGGUGACAAAACUUUCCUGCAGAUUUGGAUAUCUUUGACCUGCAAAACAUUCCUCAAACACAUAUGCAUAUCUUAUAGAAAUAAAUGGCUAACAGAAUAACACUAGAAUCUGCAACCACAGAAAAUAGGUUAGUCCAGUAUAUGAUUAAGCCAUUCAUAAGAUAUCAAUAUUGAUUAAUAGAAGCAGUCAAGUCCAAGUCUAGUUCAGUUCUCAUCCAGACACAAAAUAAAGUCAAACAGGUUCAAACCAUAAACCUUAAAACAAUCCAACAAACAAAAAGUUUUAAUGAAUGAAAAGUUUUUGAUCAAAUCUUGCAUCUCUCCCCCUUUUUGUCAUCAUUAAAAAGGAUGAGAUGAAGUUAAAAUUGCUUGGGAACACGGACAAGCUGGAAAUCUUCCAUAGACUGAACGAUGCCUUCCAGCUUCUUAAAGUCUUCCUUUAGUUGUGCAAUCUCCUCACUCUUGGCAUUGGACUGAUUCUGAAUAGAGAGGGCUUGCAUUUUAUCAAUUAAUGAAUAGGAAGAAGCUUGACCUUCAUUCUUCAAGCUUUGAACUUCGCAUCCCAAGGCAUAAAUCUGACCUCGCAUCUCCAAGAGAAUAUCCAUGAUUCUGCGAAAAUCUGCUCCAUUAUCAGUCUGAGUACUUGCUUCGGCUCAAUCUGAUGGAGUAAAUGCAGAAAAUGGUAGAUCAGCAUAAUCUUGUAGAUUUGGUGAUGAUACUUCAUGACCUUCUUCUGGAAACUGAGAUGCAUAAACAUUCUCUGGGUCUGCUGGUGAGCGACUGACUCCUUCACUUGCAUCAGGACAUGAAGACUUCACUCCUUUCUCCUGAUCUCCCCCUGUUUUCAUGCCUACAGGUGGAGAAGAGUGUUCUUCAUGUUCUCAUUCUUCUCUUCUUUCUUCUUCUGGUCUUUCCUCCUCUGUUUCUUUUUCAGCUUCUAAUUCUUCUGCUUCCUUCUCCUCUGCUUCCUUUGUCAUUUGUUUCGAGUCUUGCUGUGGAAUAGGACGACUUAAAUUCUUUAAGGCCAAUGCAGAGAGAGUGAUGUCUUCCUCAUCAUCUUCAUCCUCAACGAGGAGAGCUCUUCUUUUCUUGGAUGGAGCAACCAUGGGCUCCUUCCCUUUUCUUUUAGCUGCAGAAGAUAUUUGAUGAGAUUUUGCAGGAGUCUUCUCCUUGAAUUUCUCCAACUCCUUGCUCAGUUCUUUCAGACGCAUUUUGGUAACCAUUUUCAGACCUAACACCAUAUGAUCACAUGGUCGAACACAAAGGAUUUGUGGAGGCUGAAUAUUCAGAUGUCUGAAUAACUUCGUAACAAGGCUUGGAUAAGGGAGUUGACCUAUGUCCUUCAUCAUUGCCCUAUACAUGUGAAACAUCACAGUGUGAGGGAGAGAAAACCUUUUACCAAAAAGAAUGGCAUACAUCAGCUUGGCCUCUGAACUUGAGACAUCAGUCUUGGAAGUUGAUUUUGGUCGGAGGCAAUUAAGCACAAUCUUGUGAAGCAAGAUGUUGUAUGCACCCAUCCUUAAGUAGGUGAUCUUUUCAUCUGUUCUCCUGUCCUUCACUAGUUCAAGUGUGGCCCGAGCAAUGGAAACUUUGUUUGUUUGAUAUCUUCCUCUUUCGACUUCUAACACAUCUGCCAGCAUGUUCAUAUCCACAACAUAGUCUUGGUCUUUUACGUUGAAAGAGAAUCUAUUCAUAUCCAAAAAGCUUAGAUUUGAAUAGAAAUAUGCAGUUAAUUCAGCAUAUGCCUCUGUAGAGUCAGAGCAGAACUUUUCAAGUUGAAGAUAACUGAAUUCUUCCCUUAAGUUUACAUUCACUGCAUCUAGAAAAUCAAAAUCCACACUCCUAGGGUUUAUUACCCCACGCUUCAGCAAUUUUGAGUACAGAUCCUUUUGCUCAUUUGAUCUAAACAAAUCUCCCAUUUUUCCUUGAUUUUCAACCGCAACACCCAUCUUCGGUUGAAAUUGACUGUAUAAUUUAUCAUCAUCAUUCCCAUCCACAGGAUUCGGCCCCCAGUCACGAGGAUCACUUGGGAUAUUUGCAAGGGUUUCCUCAGCCACCCCUUUUCGAGCAAUUCCCAAACUUUCAAUUUUUUUUCAGAAAUAUAUUUGUUCCCAUGUCCUUUUUCUUUAAGAAAAUCAUCAAUGUAAUUCAAGGGAGUACGAAUUCCUUUUAGGGCACGAUAUAACUGGUAAAUAUAAGCAGGCUUUUGAACUCUUACAGGGUCUGCAUCCUCAAUGAUUUCUUCCUGUUGUUGAUUAUCAACUCCUUGAGGACUAGAUGGAGGAGAAUGACGCUGUUGAGAAUGUUGUGGGCUCGCUUGCUAUUCUGGAGCCACUUCAUCUUCAGUAAGAUCGAAGUGCGUAGGUCCCUCACUCAUCCUCUGUGGUCCCCUGCUUGCGAUUCUUGAGGACUUUCUUGAAGAUGACAUCUUUCUCAGUCUUUGGAAGAUUCAUUGCUUGACUUUCCCAGGAAAGAUGACAACCUUUUUGAGGAUUGAACGAAGAAGACAAACGGGAAUGGAGGAUUGAUGCUUUCUAGGGUUUUUGAGAGAAAAGUGAAGAGAAAUCGACAGUGCUCGUUCGGUUAAAAAGAAAAGUAAACGAACCGUCACAAAGGAAAUAAAAAUAUACAUUUUCAAAAUAACUGUCUUUAUCCGCAAAAAUAGCUAUUUCAAAAAUAACUUCCCUUUUUAUAAAUGAAGCGAUGCAAUAUUUAUGUCAAUUAAAUAUAGCAACAAUUUAAACACAGUCUGAUGAUCGUACCUUUUCAAGAUGAGACUCAAGGAAGAAAAACUUACAGUCUGACGGACGUACCAAGACUGUCUUUCAGAUAAAGUCUUGUAAGUCUGAGUCUGAAGGUCUUUAGACUUUGAUAUCCUCAUACCUCAAAAUGUUGAGUCUGGACCGUAUAGACUCAAAUUGAUUUUUCUCCAAAGGCUUUGUGAAUAUAUUAGCCAGUUGAUUCUUUGAGUCAACAAAUUGAAUUGAAACAUCUCCAUUUUGAACAUGAUCUCUAAUAAAGUGAUGUCGAAUCUCUAUAUGCUUUGCUCUUGAGUGGAGAAUUGGAUUUUUGGUGAGGUUGAUAGCGCUGGUGUUGUCGCAAUUAAUCUCCGUGCAUGAGUCUUCAAUUUCAAAGUCUCUUAGCUGUUGUUUUAUCCAUAGAAUUUGCGAACAACAGCUUCCCAGGGCUACAUACUCUGAUUCUGUUGUUGAAAGAGACACAGUGCUUUGUUUCCUUGAAAACCAAGACAUUGUCCCGCUUCCAAGCAACUGGCAAGUUCCCGAAGUGCUUUUUCUAUCAACUCUGCAACCAGCCAGAUCUGCGUUUGAAUAUCCCAGAAGAUUAAAGUCUCCCUUCUUAGGAUACCAAAGACCGAUGCUUGAUUAUGAAGCCACGUAUUUAAUGAUGCGUUUCGCAACACUGAGAUGAGAUUCUCUAGGAUCUGAUUGAAACUGUACAUAUGCAAACACUCAACAAAAUGUCAGGUCUAGAAGCAGUAAGAUAAAGAAGUGAACCAAUAAUGCUCCUGUACAGCUUUUGAUCAACUUUCUUUCCUUCUUCAUCUUUGUCUAUCUUCAAAGAACUUGACAUCGGUAUGUCGGUCUUUUUGCACUUCUCCAGUCCAAAUCUUUUGACAAGAUCAUUAACAUAUUUUUCUUGAUAAAUAAAAGUUCCUUCCUUCAAUUGUUUUAUUUGAAGACCAAGAAAGAAUGUUAACUCUCCCAUCAUACUCAUUUCAAAUUCAUCCUGCAUAGACUUAGAAAAUUUCUUGCACAUAUUCUCAUUUGAAGAUCCGAAAAUAAUGUCAUCCACAUAUAUUUGAACAAGUAAGAAACUUUUGAUUUCCUUUUUGAUAAAUAAAGUCGUAUCUACUUUACCUUUAACAAAACCAUUAUGAAUCAAAAACUUACUUAAUCUGUCGUACCAAGCUCGAGGUGCUUGCUUUAAACCAUACAAAGCCUUUUUUAGUCUGAAGACUGAGUCUGGCUUCUUUGGGUCUUCAAACCCUGGUGGUUGUUCCACAUAAACUUCCUCAUGGAUAAAUCCAUUUAGGAAGGCGCUUUAGACGUCCAUUUGGAAUAACCUGAAAUUCUUAUAACAAGCAAACGCAAGUAAUAGUCGAAUAGCUUCUAACCUUGCUACUGGAGCGUAAGUCUCAUCAUAGUCUAUUCCUUCUUCUUGCAUAUAUCCUUUGGCCACAAGUCUUGCUUUGUUUCGUACGACUUUUCCUUUCUCAUUCAUCUUGUUCCUGAACACCCAUUUAGCUCCAAUAACAGUUUUACCUUUUGGUUUGGAUGUCAAUUCCCAGACAUCAUUAAUGCUGAACUGUCUGAGCUCUUCUUGCAUAGCUUCAAUCCAGCUUUCAUCAGACAAAGCUUCUUCUAUGCUUUUUGGUUCAAUUUCAGAAACAAUAGCUACAACACUAGACUCUUCUCGCCUUUUGGAUCUGGUGCGAAUUCCUUCAUUAAUUUCGCCGAUUAUAAGAUCUUUGGGAUGGCUGGACUUAUGCUUCCAGUUACUUGUUGAUUUGUCUGUUUGAUGAUCUCUCUCUUUGAUUGAAUCUUCAGGAACAUCCUUAUUCUGGUUUUCCAGAGUCUGAGAUGCUUCUUGAGUUGUAAGCUUUGGAAGGUCUGAAGCAGGUUCAGACUCUUCUUGAUGAGUCUGACUUGAUUCAUCUUGUGUUGAGUCUUGAAAUUUGACAUUCAUUGACUCCUCCACAGACUGGCUCUUCUUGUUAUAGACUCUGAAGGCUUUGCUUGAUGUAGAAUAUCCAAGGAAGAUACCUUCAUCUGAUAUUUCUUCAAACUUACCAACUCGAUCUUUUGCAUUUUUCAAUAUAAAAAAUUUGCAACCAAAUACAUGAAAGUAUGAAACAAUAGGCUUCUUAUUUUUGAACAAAUCAUAAGGGGUUUUCUCUAGAAUAGGUCUUAAGAAGACUCUAUUGAUGAUAUAACAAGCUGUUGAAACAGCUUCAGCCCAAAAUCGUGAAGAAAUCUUGCUUUCUAUUAAAAUAGUUCUAGCCAUUUCCUGAAGAGAUCUGUUCUUUCUUUCCACGACUCCAUUUUACUGAGGAAUAUAUGGAGAGGAGAACACAUGAUUAAAGCCAGAUUCAUCACAAAAUUUUGUAAAAUCUUGAUUUUCAAAUUCACCUCCAUGAUCUGUUUUUAUACAAGAGAUAACACAUCCUUUUUCAUUUUGAACCUUUUUAGCAAACUUUUCAAAAUACGAGAAGGUUUCAGACUUACUUGCAAGGAAAUAUACCCAAGUAAAACGGGAGUAAUCAUCCACAAUUACUAGGCAAUAUUUCUUACCUCCAAUACUCUGUGUUCUGGUUGGUCCGAAGAGAUCCAUAUGUAGCAACUGUAGUACAUGAUUAGUAGUGACAUGAUUUAUUGGCUUAAAUGAAUUUCUUACCUGUGUUCCCAAAAUACAUGGAGUACAUGGAUCAGUCUUUUGAUAAGGUAAUCUCGGUAGUCCUCGAACAAGCUGUUUUGUUGAGAUUUUGGCUAACUGCUUCAUGUUGACAUGACCAAGCUUUCUGUGCCAUAAGCUUGCUUCGUCUUGAAUUGAGAUAAAACAUUGCAAUUCAUUUGGUUUCACAUCCAGAAGAUAGAUGUUUCCAUGUCUACGACCCAUGAAAGACUGAGUAGAGUUUUUACUGAUUCCAGAACAUAUUCCUUCUUGAAAGAAGAUCUUGAAACCAGUAUCACACAGUUGACUAAUGCUGAGAAGAUUGUAAUUGAGUCCUUCCACUAAGGAAACAUUACUUAUUGUGAGAUUUCCAAUUUUCACAGUUCCAAAUCCCACAAUACUUCCUUUGCUGUUUCCUCCAAAUGAAACUUUUCCACCAUUUACUUGAGCAAGCUUCAUGAAACAUUUUGAGUCUCCUGUCAUGUGUCUUGAGCAUCCACUGUCAAGAUGCCACUUUACCUUUCUCUUGACGGUGACCUGCAUUUAAAAAAAGAGUCUCAAGCUUUCUUUGGUACCCAAACUUUCUUGGGUCCUUUGGUGUUAGUAACAUAAGCAGUAUUAGCCCAUAUUUUAUUAACAGGUUUCCAAACCAUAGGACACUCUUUUUCAAAAUGAUCCGGACUGUUACAUUUUGAACAUUUUAGAGCAUUUCUACCUACAGAUUUAACAAAAACCUUUUUGAAGUGAUUUUUGUAAAUCUCAUUCGAGAGUCUUUUCUUAAUUCUUUCUUUUACUUUAGGAAAAUCAAUUAAGGAAAUUGUUUCUUCUGUCAUACCUAGACCAGACUUAUUGAAGUAAGGUCUUUGUGCUGAAAAAAUUUUCUCAAGUUUUUCAGACCCUAUAGAAAACUUCUUUGAUAUAUUUGAUAAGUCUGUUUUUAAAAAGGCAUUUUCUUUUAAAAGAUUAUCUUCAUUUUCUUUAAGAUAGGAAACAGACAAGUCUAGACUUUUAACUCUUUCUGCUAAAACAUUUUCCUUUUGUUUUAGAGCUGAGUUUUCUUUUUUCAGUUCGGAAAUUCUUUUGAGAGAAGUCUUAAGACUAAAGCAUAGUUCAUCAAUAUAUUUAGAAACUUUGAUAGGGAUUUUAAAAUUACUUGCAUCAAAAUCACUGUCUGAGUCUGAUUCAGAGUCUGAGUCUGAUUGUGCCAUCAGACAUAGAUUGGCAUAUUCAUUAUCACUUUCUUCACACUCUGUGUCACUCCAGGUUUCGGCUUUGAGAGCUUUUCGAAAUUUUUCAGCUUUUCCUUUCUUCUUCUUCAGAAGAGGACAGUUGGGUCUGAUGUGUCCAUUUUUCUUACAUUCAAAGCAGACUAUGUCUUUUUUUGGUUCCUCAUCAUCAACAGACUUGGUCUGUUGUCUUUGAAAGCUUUGUUUCUUUGAGUUGAACCUUCUUCCUUUUCUAUUCAGUUUUCUGAAUCUUCUUAUCAUGAGAGCAAGCUCCUCAUCGUCCAUAUCUUCUUCAGAAUCUGUAUCAUCAGAAUCAUCAUUUGAUUUUAAUGCAAUGGAUUUCUUACCUUUUGGAUCUUCAUCUUCAUUGAUCCGUUCCACUUCAUAAGAUUGAAGAGAUCCAACUAGCUCGUCGACAGAUAGUGGCAUAAUUCUCUGCGUCUCUCUUAUCGAAGUCUUUAUGUGAUUCCAAUCCCUGGAGAGUCCACGUAGUAGCUUGUUUACCUUCAUGGGAUCAGAAGUUGGUUGACCUUGAUUUUCAAGACCAUUUACAAUAUCUGUAAAACGACUAAACAUGUCAGAUAUAGAUUCUCCUGGUUUCAUUCUGAAGGCUUCGUAUUGACCAAGAAGAAUGUUGAUUCUUGUUUCCUUCACUCGAUCUGUUCCUUCAUAGGUGAUAUGCAAUCUCUCCCAAACUUCUUUUGCUGUACCACAAGAAGAUAUUCUAUUAUAUUCAGUUGGUGAUAAAGCACAAUAUAAGGAGUAAAUUGCUUUUGCAUCGAGUGUUUGUCUCUUGGUUAUUUCUUCCUGAGACAUUCCGCUGGUUUCUUCAGUUUCUUUUCCUCUUUCAGAGACUGAUGCAGUGGUAGGAGUAAUUCCUUUUUCUACAACGUCCCAUUCCAGAGGAUCCUUUGAUCGUAGGAAAGCUUUCAUCUUGUUCUUCUAGAUGUUGUAAUCCUUUCCAUCAAAGUAGGGUGGUCUGGUAUUGCUUUGCCCUUCCAUCAGCCCUGGUGCUAGCAUACUAGCCAUGGAUCUUUUACUUUGAAGUAAAACACUUCAAAUAAAGUAAGUACACAGGCUCUGAUACCAAUUGAUAUUGCUAGUAUGAGUACCUAGAGGGGGGUGAAUAGGUGUCUAAACAAUUUAUCGAUAUACGGAAGCGAUUCUUAGCAUAUGAUAGAAAGUAAAUUCUCUCUUAAUUAUCAAAAUGAAAUACGAUCGAGGUAGAGAGAGUAAGGAAGAGAAAAUUGAACACAGGAUUUAUAGUGGUUCGGCUUAUUCCAAGCCUACGUCCACUCUUCCGCACUGACAGCCCAUCGGCUGGAUUUCACUAUGAUCAAAAGAGAAGUUACAGCACAGCUUUGCCUUGAUUCCACAGUGUAGAUGUUCUACCACACCUCCUCAAGGUCUCUCACAAAUAUAGACUCUCUUUUGUAUACAAGUAUUCGCUCAAAGGAUUUAUCUAAACAAAUAGGAGCUUCAGACUUUGGAAUUCUUCUAUCGCGCACACCUUGAACAACUAAGACAGUCUUCUUUAUAUACUCAUUUAUGCCAUCAUAACCGUUGGCACUUACCAAAGGAAUUCCUCCAAUCUACCCGUUGGACGGAAUCAAUUAUGAAGAUUGUUUAAGCUAUUAAAGGAACGUGUUGAUAGCCCAUCAAUCCUGUUCGCCCAUACAAUCAGGAUCUCGGUUUCCAUAAGCAGAACCUUCCAAUAAUACUUAGGCAAUCACCGGAUCUUCAAUUAUCGAAUCAAUCUUUGAUCAAUCAAAGGACUCCGUUAUGUCUUCUCCAGCCACGAGAUCUUCUCCAGUUGAUAAGGUCAAAUCCUCAACGAAACAUUCAGUUCUGGAUAACCUUUCUUCAAUGGAUUAGAGACUGUCAAUGAGGAUAGACUUUGAGUCUUAAGUCUGGCUGUCCGGAGGUCUUUAGACUUUAAAUAGCAGAGUCUGCAAACCUUCAGACUAGACUGAUAGAAACGUUUUGUCAACUUCAAAAUACUUCAAGAAGAUUUCUCCAACAUCUUUAACCUUUUCAACGCGUCUUGUCAGAAUGCUUGUUUUUUCCCACAUAGAAACGAACCUAUAACCUCGAGAGCUAAGGGAAGCCCUUUGGUAGUGGAUACAACAUCAUGAGAUAGAGAUUCGAAUUCACAUGGAGGAAAAUCCCUGUAAAAAGCAUGUCUACUAAACAAGAUCAAAGAUUGAUCCUUAGCGAUUCCAUUGAGUUCGUAUUGGCAGUUUACCUUAGCAUCAUCAAGAAUAGACUUCAUUCUUGUGGUAAUGAUUAUCCUACUUCCCCUCUCGAACCAGUCUUGUUUCCCAAUUAAAGCUUUUAGUUGACAAAGGUUAUCCACAUCAUCCAAAAGAAUUAGGACUUUCAUAUAUAUAAAUCUAGAUUCCAUCAUCCUAAUUCCUUCAUCCUUGUUUGGCACUUCAACCUUUCUUCCUAGUAUAUCACAUAUUAAUUGACUCUGCAAACAUGAAAUGCCCUUGCGCUGUGAGGAUUCUCGGAUAUCGGCAAUGAAACUAUGAUGCUGAAAUUGGUCAAAGAGCUUAUUGUAGAUGACCUUGGCUAAAGUUGUCUUACCAAUACCCCCCAUUCCAUGAAUACCAACAAUUUGGGUAGCAUUGCGGUUAUCAUCCAACAAUCUUAGAAUGUCCGCCACAGUAUUAUCAAUUCCAACAAGUUGUUCCGUAACAACUAACUGAAAGGCCUCUUUUAGCUUGCUCAAAACUUUUCUAAUGAUUAUUCUUACCAAUUCUCCUUCGCGGCUGUUUAUAAAGCAUUUGAGCUAAAACGAAUUAGAAGAACAAUCAUAUCCUAUUAUAUCUCAUUAUUACCACACUACAACAUACAACAGUAAAAAAGGCAAGCACUUGCACAAGCAAAGAAACACGAUAGAAUAGUCUCCUCUACAAGCAAGAUCCCGUUGAAAGAAAUUAAAUAAGGUUUAUGUAGAAAUGGAAAUACCCGCUAGCAGUUCUCUCGGAUUCCCAUCCCUUUAAGAAAGCCACUUCUUGGAGUGCUUGUUUCCAUUUGGCAACAUCUCCCUCAUAAUACUUCCCACUUAAAUGGGAGAAAAGCCUUUCCAAAACUCCCUUUUUGGUAUUGCACAUCAGCCGGUUCAACCCGGUAAAAUAUGGGCAAGACAACUUGUCCAGCGCUCUUCAUGCAGUCAAUCAUUUGCACGAGCUCUUGAAGGCACCAUUUGCUCGAAGCGUAGUUCCGAGAGAAAAUCGGGAUGGAGAUCUUACUGUUCUUAAUGGCCUGAAGAAGGUUGGUGCUGAUCUUCUCACUUUCGCAAAGCUCAUCGUCAUCUCUGAACACGUAGAUUCCAGCAUCGACGAGGGCAUUGUAGAGGUGAUCCACGAAGGUUUUGCGAGUAUCCAUACCGCAGAAGCUCAAGAACACAUCGUAGUUGUUGCUUCUUGUUGAAGUGUGGGACGAAAUAGACGCACCGGUAUCAUCUACUUUUCGACGUCGGCUCAUUUUGUAAUUCUGGAAAGAAAAUUGAAUGGGAGCAUAGAGACGAGACGCUUCACUUCUACUCCUUUAAUAACUCUUGAACGGAGUUUCUCUGUUAGAAUAAAAGAAAAAAAUGCCGAGAAGAUGACCACGCGCGGCUGUAUUUUUUUGGGGCAAAUUCUACGUUAAGAUGCACGUUGACCGAGAGACAACAGAUAAGACAAAUUCAUACAAAAAAUGUCCAAAAUGCAUCAACAAAGUGCUAAUCGCCAUGUCACUUUUUUUUUUUUUAUUCAAAAAACCCCGAAAGCCAACAGCCGGCGAGAAGAACCUGGCGCUGACGCAAGUUAGCUACCACACUUCAAAAAACCCCAAAAGCCGACAGCCGGUGAAAAGAACCUGGGGCUGAUGCAAGCUAGCCACCACACUUACGCCAGCGGUUAAGUCACCAAGUAUCGCCUCUGGGAUUUGAAGUUGACACAUUUUGUGGGAAGUACAAAGCUCAAGCCAACUAUGUCACCUUUUUAUUUAUGCCCAAUAAUAAGUCAAAACGUGUUAGCUGAGGUGGAAUAAAAAAUAAAAAAUUGAAUUUUCUCUUCUUCCUCUUCCUCCGUCGAUCUGGUUGUCCUCCGUAGCCGUCGGCGCUCCCUCCUCUGUCCCAGAGCACCACCCCGUUCGGCUAGCAUCUCCACCAGUUCCGGUGUCACUUGUAGUUGACCCAGGCUACCUCUUCGUGCCUCCAGAUCAGCAAGCCUAGCUCGUCCAUGGCUCGCGAGGCUUGUCCAUGGCCGUGAGCCUUGACGCCGACGUCGAGGUCUAGACGGCCAUGAACUGCGCUCCGGCGUCAGCAAGGCUUCAGAUCUGGACUAAUUGGGUCAUGCUCGGGAAGAAAGCAUGGAUUCCGCUCCCUCUGCUUCAGAUUUGAACUGAAGUCGCGCUUUCUUCGACAGCGGAUGCGGCCCUAAAGGCAUGGCUUCCAGAUCUGAAGCUGCCUUCGGAUUUGGCCAUGACUGGCUCGUCCAUGGCCGUGAUGGGCAAGGUCGAGAUCCCGACGGCCAUGGACGGAGCUCAUAUAUCAAGAAGAAAAACAGGCUUGGCUUGAACGCAGCGGUGGUCGCCUGGUCACGGCGCCGGCGACUCCGCUGGUGGCAAUGGCCGGGGAGGAGCGGAGGUCGGCGGCUAUGGCUGGCGGAGGAAGAGAGAGCAGAGGUGAAAGAGAGAAAAUUUUCACUUAAAUUCCACGUCAAUUGCUGACAUGGAUAUGUGAACACGUGUCAAGAUAUCAUUGGAUACGAGUAAAAAAUAAGUCACGUAGGAUGCUGAUGUGGUGGUCAUAUUUUCUCAGCUAGGGGAGCUUUACAGAUAAAAAAUAAAGAGAGAGAGAUAAGAGAAAGAAAUAAAAAAGAGUCAAGAGUGCUUCUAUGAGCUCAUUUACUCCAAGCCUUUUGUGCGCGUGCGAGUGAGAAUAUUGUCCAGUUUGCAAUGCUCAUUGUUCAAGUUGGAUACUCAUGUCGAUCACCUAACUCGUGAUAGUAUCAUAUCGAUAUAGCGAGAGGCAUGAACUGAAAUUUUCUUUGGUUAGAAUAGAGAGCAGAAAAAGGCUGGAAUCAAAUGUCAUAGCAAUUUUCUGCAGAUUUUGAAAUAGGACGCAUUUAUGGUCUUGAUCGACAAAACUUACUUCUCUGAGUUAAGCCAUUUCUAGAGAAUCUCAGUUACUCCGGCAAGAGUGUUUUGAUCCUGAAGCAAGGGCUCCAAGUGUUGUUGUGCUCUACAGACCUCUACCUUCCCCUGCAUCUACUGAGUUUUGGACUUCAGAAGACAGCGGUAGACUCUUGACAGGGAAAAGAAGAAUAAUUGCUGCGAUGGAUCAUAUGAGGUGCAUUUCAUAGGAAACGAGAAGUUAUUGAACAGCUUUUGCUCUUGAAAUGAACAACUUCUGUUUUUCAUCAUUAAUAUUAUUCCACCAAUAAUGUUAAUUUUCUUUCAAUAGAGGUUAUAUAUGCUGAUGUCAAUAAGAUACAAGACUACUUACUUUUGUAUUCCGAGAGGAGUUUUCGGCUGUCAAUAUAUGUUUUUUUUUUUUUUUCCAAUAUUUUGACAGAAGUUCCAAAAUUAUUCUCAGUUUCUUGUCGCAUUAUAGAUGAUCCACAUAAGAAAUCAUCACUUUCUUUCUUUUUCAUAAAUAUCCUUCUAAAAUGAAAAAUAAAACACUAUUUACUCAUGACACUGAAAGUCCAAUAAAGAAUCAUCAAAAACAAAUUUCAGAAAAAAAAAAUGUGGCCUUAACACGUACAACGGGUGUGAUUUGUCUUUUGCAAAGUAAAUCAGCCCUCCGAAAAAGCAGUGGAGGAGGUGGUUUGAAGUAAUCUCAACUGAAGGAUGGGAUGAGAUGAAGAUAUCAAUUUGCCAUGACAAAAGUUAAUCGACUGAAUCUCGACCGGCCUAUUCUAUUUCGAUAAUCGUGUUGACAUCUCAAGAGUAAAUUGAGUUAUUGAGUUGCGCCAUGAAUUUAGGGACGGUUAAUUCACGCUCUUAGCUUACUACCUAGAUUAAGUGAAUCCAUGUCCUACACUACAUACAUGCUAAAGUAAUUGAAGAACAUGCAAUGCUUCAUAUUUUAUGAGUAUUUUGUUAGGAACGACCCAAGACAGUACUUGAUAAACAACCAAAUAAGGACCUUUGGAAUUCCCAAUGCAUUGAUUGCCCCUCGUGAUUUGCACAAUCUAUGCUUAGAGAAUUGAAUAUUCCCUCCUUAAGUAUACUUAAUAAGUGAUUCAAGAGUAUUUAUUAAUAAGACCUAUCUUACAAAGAAUCAAUGCACAUAGAAAUCACAUUACAUUGAUCUAACAUGCUUAUAUGUGAGAUAUGUGAAUCACAUGCUAUGUACUAUCCACAGAAUGAAAUUAUAUACGCGGUUGACAUCAAGUGAAGUCAUAUACCAUCCACUGUCUCAUAACUCUUAAAACACAAAAAAAAAAAAAAAAAAAAUAAAAAAAAAUCCUUUCUAUCUUGUGAUUCAGAAAUCUAUUCAAAGAUACUUCCAACUCAAAGUAUGGCACUUCAUUGGCCGAGCUUUCUAGAUUCGUUAGGGCGGAGCAAUGGAGUCAUACUCUAUGCGCAGCUUCUACAGUAUACCGCUCAGGAAACCCCUGCAAACAGUUUAAAAGGUUUCGGUACGUAAAAUAGCUAAUUGUUAUGGGAUGGCAAGUCACGAGUCAUGAUUGAUUCUUACCAUAUUCCUGAUGUGUUCUUGACUUGAUUCUGCAAAUUAUUCACGAAACAUAACAUACGGUCGGUAAGCAAAGAUGAGACUUGGAGGAAUUACAAAGGGAAGGAGACAAAUGAAGACCAUACUAACCCCGGUUCCCCAAGGAAGGCAUCGUUGACUUCAUCAGUCCUUGGCCUUCCAUUGAAUGUUGAAAGCAAGAUGCACUCCUCCUUCCCGGACGGCCUGAUUGACUCGUUUGCACAAUUCAUAAGGGUAGGGGUAGGACAUCCUGCAAUGACGAUUUCACAUUUUGUUCAAACAUCAUUGAAGACUGAAACAACGCCAUCUUUGAUUGACAGAAAUAUGAAGCUCUUUGAAGCUGAGAGAUAUUGAUAAAACGGAUAUAUUAAGCAAAAGCAUAAACAUCAGCCUCUCUACAUAUUUUAAUGACAUAUCACGUAAAGUUUGAUUCUUGCCUCCGUGAAGAAAGAAUCCAAGAUUCUUACUUUCAACGUAGUACGCGUUCAGGCUCGGCUAUCAGGCAAACCAAUAGACAGUCGAAGUUAGUCAAUAAUCUCCUUGAAAAUAAUAGAUGAACGAGUUCUGGAGAGUACUGAUGUCUUGACAUCUACACCAUUAAUGGAUAAGAUAAUGUUUUGCACACCAUGAAGAAUCAAAUUUUCAUGCAUCCAGAAGAAAAUGCAUACAUCCACGCACAAUUUUCAUUCUGAGAAAGAUUAGAAAUUCUUCUGCGUUGUCCUUUUUCUUUGGCUAGGCAAGGGGAUGGUGAAAGCAGUAAAGGCAAGACCUCUGGCGGUAAGGAUGGGCCAUGCCCAAUGCCUAUCCUCGAUCAAUUCUGGUUUAAUUGCAUGUAAUUUCAAUCAUUCCUUGUGCUCCAACAGUACUUCUGCACGGUCAUGGCUAUAGAAUAUGAGGUAUGUGUCAGAGAUCAGGCAAAUUUACCUCAGAGCACCCAUAAUUGCGUAUGGAGUUCCAGCAAAAUAGAGAAGCCGGAAGAAAUAGCGAUUCUCAAUGAUGCGGCAUACUGCAGUCUCUUGUCCUGUCCCAUAGUCUUCAAAACAAGUUUCAAGGUAAAGAGAAUCAGUUCAAAUCUAAAUCCAUCUUUUGUCCACAUAUUAACAUUGUACUUACCAAAAAAAAAACAAAAAAAAGAACACUGUACUUACUUGCAUGAUACCACUGGAACCUGGUAAAUCCUGGAGGAAAAGAGCCAUGCUCGUUAGAAAUAGGCAAAAUAUUAGUUGCAGACUCUGCUACUACACUGUAUGCAGGUCUGAAGGCAAAAUGUUAAGCAACGGAUUAAGGAUGAAUGGACAUGCAAGCAUUAGUUUGAAGAAACUGCAUAGUUUCUGGGGUCAUUUUAUACAAGAUCUUGGCUAAUAUUUGUUUGAAGAAUAGCUUACCCCUAGAUUCUGUAAAACAAAGGAAUAUGAUUGAGAGAACAUUUCGAGUACUCUCUGUUUUUUUACUGAGCAUAUAUUGACCAGCUGAAGGAUAUAGUCGCAGCCUUACUCGUAGGAAAUUAUGGGACAGAAAAAUGGAUAUUUUUCAACCAUUUGUCAGUUAAAUACUUCGCUAAAGUGCAAUUAGUGUCAUAUCCCAAGCAAUGAAAGCUUUCAACUUAACAGAAAUUUCAGGACAAACCUUAAUCCUAGGAUUGAUGAGCAUGACCAGACGCAUACCAACAGAUUUAGUCAUGCCUCUGAGAUUCUGCAAUCUCAAAAUCAAGUGGUGCUUAGCCAUGUAGUUGCGACUUGAGUCAUAAAAUGGACAUAAUUGCAAAAGGAUUAACGCAACACUUGCUAUCAAGCUCCUUACAUCGAUGAUACAGUUACCCACAGCAUUUUGAGGAGCCACUAAGAUAAAAAUGUCAUCUUGCU
rnacentral:lncRNA from 1 species